UGCCAGCAGCCGCGGUAAUACGGAGGGCACAAGCGUUGUUCGGAAUUAUUGGGCGUAAAGCGGGUGUAGGCGGCUUUGCAAGUCGGAUGUGAAAUCCCUGGGCCCAACCCAGGAACUGCAUUCGAUACUGCAUCGCUAGAGUCCCGGAGAGGAUAGCGGAAUUCCAAGUGUAGAGGUGAAAUUCGUAGAUAUUUGGAGGAACACCAGUGGCGAAGGCGGCUUUCUGGACAGUGACUGACGCUGAGGCGCGAAAGCGUGGGUAGCAAACAGGAUUAGAUAC
rnacentral:rRNA from 1 species